rnacentral:rRNA from 1 species
GACGAACGCUGGCGGCGUGCUUAACACAUGCAAGUCGAACGGAAAGGCCCUGCUUUUGUGGGGUGCUCGAGUGGCGAACGGGUGAGUAACACGUGAGUAACCUGCCCUUGACUUUGGGAUAACUUCAGGAAACUGGGGCUAAUACCGGAUAGGAGCUCCUGCUGCAUGGUGGGGGUUGGAAAGUUUCGGCGGUUGGGGAUGGACUCGCGGCUUAUCAGCUUGUUGGUGGGGUAGUGGCUUACCAAGGCUUUGACGGGUAGCCGGCCUGAGAGGGUGACCGGCCACAUGGGGCCUGAGAUACGGCCCAGCCCCAUACGGGAGGCAGAAGGGGGGAAUAUGGCACAAGGGGGGGAGGCCUGAUGCAGCAACCCCGGGUGCGGGAUGACGGCUUUCGGUUUGAAAACCGCUUCCGCCUGUGACGAAGGGGGAGUGACGGUAAGGGGUAAAGAAGCACCGGCUAACUACGUC